rnacentral:tRNA from 3 species
GAGGGUAUAGCUCAAUCGGAUAGAGCAACGGCCUUCUAAGCCGUAGGUUUCGGGUUCGAGCCCCGAUAUCCUCUCCA